UUUAGUCUAGUGGUAUGAUUCUCGCUUUGGGUGCGAGAGGUCCCGGGUUCAAUUCCCGGAACGGCCC
rnacentral:tRNA from 1 species